AGAGUCGUACUUAACAGGAUCAUUUCUGUAGUAUGCGUUCUCACACUUAACUACAUAAUUUGACAAUAUUUUCUAGU